rnacentral:rRNA from 1 species
UCCGGUUGAUCCUGCCGGACCCUAUUGCUAUCGGGACAGGACUAAGACAUGCUAGUUUAGCGUCUUCAAGCUAUGAUGAAGACGCGGCGCACAGCUCAGUAACACGUGGCCAACCUGCCCUUAGGACAAGUAUAACCCCGGGAAACUGGGGAUAAUCCUUGAUAGGUGAGGAAUUCUGGAAUGAGUCUUUGCUUAAAGGACGUGCAGAUCACGCUUCUGUGCGUUGCCUAAGGAUGGGGCCGCGGCCGAUCAGGUUGUUGGUGAGGUAACGGCUCACCAAGCCUAUAACCGGUACGGGCCGUGAAAGCGGAAGCCCGGAGAUGGGCACUGAGACAAGGGCCCAGGCCCUACGGGGCGCAGCAGUCGCGAAAACUCCGCAAUACGCGAAAGCGUGACGGGGCUAUCCCGAGUGCUAUUCGAUGAGAGUAGCUUUUCCUCAGUGUAAAGUGCUGGGGGAAUAAGGAGGGGGCAAGACUGGUGUCAGCCGCCGCGGUAAUACCAGCUCUCCGAGUGAUAGGGACGUUUAUUGGGCCUAAAGCAUCCGUAGCUUGCUGAGUCUGUCCUCCGUUAAAUCCAACGAUUUAAUCGUUGGGCUGCGGGGGAUACUGCUUAGCUAGGAGGCGGGAGAGGCCGACGGUAUUUCCGGGGUAGGGGUGAAAUCCUAUUAAUCCCGGGACGACCACCAGUGGCGAAGGCUGUCGGCUAGAACGCGCUCGACGGUGAGGGAUGAAAGCUGGGGGAGCAAACCGGAUUAGAUACCCGGGUAGUCCCAGCUGUAAACGAUGCAGGCUAGGUGUUGGUGUGGCUACGAGCCGCUCCAGUGCCGCAGGGAAGCCGUUAAGCCUGCCGCCUGGGAAGUACGGCCGCAAGGCUGAAACUUAAAGGAAUUGGCGGGGGAGCACCACAAGGGGUGAAGCUUGCGGUUUAAUUGGAGUCAACGCCGGAAAUCUCACCGGGGGCGACAGCAGGUUGAAGGCCAGAUUAAAGGCCUUGCUAGACAAGCUGAGAGGAGGUGCAUGGCCGUCGCCAGUUCGUGCCGUGAGGUGUCCUGUUAAGUCAGGCAACGAUCGAGACUCGCAUUCCCUGUUGCUAUCGGCCUAUGAGCCGAGCACACUGGGAAAACUGCCGCCGCUAAGGCGGAGGAAGGAGCGGGCCACGGCAGGUCAGUAUGCCCCGAAUCCCCCGGGCUACACGCGAGCUGCAAUGGCAGGUACAAAGGGUUCCGACUCCGAAAGGAGAAGGUAAUCUCAAAACCCUGCCGUAGUUGGAAUCGAGGGUUGUAACUCACCCUCGUGAACAUGGAAUCCCUAGUAAUCGCGCGUCACUAUCGCGCGGUGAAUACGUCCCUGCUCCUUGCACACACCGCCCGUCGUUCCACCCAAGCAGGGCCUGGGUGAGGCGUGGUCAUUUGGGCCGCGUCGAAUCUGGGUUCCGUGAGGGGGGAAAAGUCGUAACAAGGUG